UUAGUUGAAACCAAAAAUAGAGGUAUAUCACUGUUAAUGAUAUUAUUGAAUAAAUACUCCAACUAAG
rnacentral:tRNA from 1 species